GAUGAACGCUGGCGGCGUGCCUAAUACAUGCAAGUCGAGCGAACGGACGAGAAGCUUGCUUCUCUGAUGUUAGCGGCGGACGGGUGAGUAACACGUGGAUAACCUACCUAUAAGACUGGGAUAACUUCGGGAAACCGGAGCUAAUACCGGAUAAUAUUUUGAACCGCAUGGUUCAAAAGUGAAAGACGGUCUUGCUGUCACUUAUAGAUGGAUCCGCGCUGCAUUAGCUAGUUGGUAAGGUAACGGCCUACCAAGGCAACGAUGCAUAGCCGACCUGAGAGGGUGAUCGGCCACACUGGAACUGAGACACGGUCCAGACUCCUACGGGAGGCAGCAGUAGGGAAUCUUCCGCAAUGGGCGAAAGCCUGACGGAGCAACGCCGCGUGAGUGAUGAAGGUCUUCGGAUCGUAAAACUCUGUUAUUAGGGAAGAACAUAUGUGUAAGUAACUGUGCACAUCUUGACGGUACCUAAUCAGAAAGCCACGGCUAACUACGUGCCAGCAGCCGCGGUAAUACGUAGGUGGCAAGCGUUAUCCGGAAUUAUUGGGCGUAAAGCGCGCGUAGGCGGUUUUUUAAGUCUGAUGUGAAAGCCCACGGCUCAACCGUGGAGGGUCAUUGGAAACUGGAAAACUUGAGUGCAGAAGAGGAAAGUGGAAUUCCAUGUGUAGCGGUGAAAUGCGCAGAGAUAUGGAGGAACACCAGUGGCGAAGGCGACUUUCUGGUCUGUAACUGACGCUGAUGUGCGAAAGCGUGGGGAUCAAACAGGAUUAGAUACCCUGGUAGUCCACGCCGUAAACGAUGAGUGCUAAGUGUUAGGGGGUUUCCGCCCCUUAGUGCUGCAGCUAACGCAUUAAGCACUCCGCCUGGGGAGUACGACCGCAAGGUUGAAACUCAAAGGAAUUGACGGGGACCCGCACAAGCGGUGGAGCAUGUGGUUUAAUUCGAAGCAACGCGAAGAACCUUACCAAAUCUUGACAUCCUUUGACAACUCUAGAGAUAGAGCUUUCCCCUUCGGGGGACAAAGUGACAGGUGGUGCAUGGUUGUCGUCAGCUCGUGUCGUGAGAUGUUGGGUUAAGUCCCGCAACGAGCGCAACCCUUAAGCUUAGUUGCCAUCAUUAAGUUGGGCACUCUAAGUUGACUGCCGGUGACAAACCGGAGAAAGGUGGGGAUGACGUCAAAUCAUCAUGCCCCUUAUGAUUUGGGCUACACACGUGCUACAAUGGACAAUACAAAGGGCAGCGAAACCGCGAGGUCAAGCAAAUCCCAUAAAGUUGUUCUCAGUUCGGAUUGUAGUCUGCAACUCGACUACAUGAAGCUGGAAUCGCUAGUAAUCGUAGAUCAGCAUGCUACGGUGAAUACGUUCCCGGGUCU
rnacentral:rRNA from 1 species